rnacentral:rRNA from 1 species
AUUGAACGCUGGCGGCAGGCCUAACACAUGCAAGUCGAGCGGAGAUACAAAGUAGUUUACUAUGAUGUAUCUUAGCGGCGGACGGGUGAGUAACGCGUGGGCAACCUGCCUUACAGAAGGGGAUAACAGUGCGAAAGUACUGCUAAUACCGCAUGAUAUUGUUAAAUCGCAUGGUUUGACAAUCAAAGGAGAAAUCCGCUGUAAGAUGGGCCCGCGUCUGAUUAGCUAGUUGGUGAGGUAAAGGCUUACCAAGGCGACGAUCAGUAGCCGAUCUGAGAGGAUGAACGGCCACACUGGAACUGAGACACGGUCCAGACUCCUACGGGAGGCAGCAGUGGGGAAUAUUGCACAAUGGGGGAAACCCUGAUGCAGCAACGCCGCGUGGAGGAUGAAGGUCUUCGGAUUGUAAACUCCUUUGAUGAGGGACGAAUAAAUGACGGUACCUCAAAAACAAGCCACGGCUAACUACGUGCCAGCCGCCGCGGUAACAC